rnacentral:rRNA from 1 species
UGGGGAAUAUUGGACAAUGGGCGAAAGCCUGAUCCAGCCAUGCCGCGUGUGUGAAGAAGGUCUUCGGAUUGUAAAGCACUUUAAGUUGGGAGGAAGGGCAUUAACCUAAUACGUUAGUGUUUUGACGUUACCGACAGAAUAAGCACCGGCUAACUCUGUGCCAGCAGCCGCGGUAAUACAGAGGGUGCAAGCGUUAAUCGGAAUUACUGGGCGUAAAGCGCGCGUAGGUGGUUUGUUAAGUUGGAUGUGAAAUCCCCGGGCUCAACCUGGGAACUGCAUUCAAAACUUACUGACUAGAGUAUGGUAGAGGGUGGUGGAAUUUCCUGUGUAGCGGUGAAAUGCGUAGAUAUAGGAGGGAACACCAGUGGCGAAGGCGACCACCUGGACUAAUACUGACACUGAGGUGCGAAAGCGUGGGGAGCAAACA